UAAAGAUCUUUAAAAGGGGGAAUAUUCCAAUAUUCCCCCAUUGGAAUAUUCCCCCUUUGGAAUAUUCCCCCUUUUAAAGAUCUUUAAAAGGGGGGAUAUUAAAUAUUCCCCCUUUUAAAGAAUAUGAAAUAUUCCCUCUUUUAAAGAUCUUUAAAAGGGGGAAUAU
rnacentral:sRNA from 1 species